CGUGUAAGGGUGCAAACACCAGCAACAUGCUAAAGCAUUUGUCUACCAAGCACGGAAUUAAGUCCCAAGAAUGCCAUGUGUUCAAAAGCCUGCAUACGAGUCAAACAAGCUCCACUGUGUCCUCCGUUGACAACGACUCGGUAUACUCACUUUGCUGCCGAUUGCUGUCAGGUGUCGAAGCCUGUGCGUACGAGCGAGUGGUGACUGCCCGCACGAACACCCAAGGUUUUAUUUUGAGCCCCGUUAUAAUGAAAUCAUUCAUCCUGGUGGAUUGCUCCAGGUCUGACACUCGGCUUUCCAGGAACAUGAUCUUCUUGUCUUUCUCUUCAUCCUCCAGCCUCCGCACCUUCACCUCGCC
ensembl:lncRNA